GCCGGGAAGACUGUUUAGUGUUAAAUAAUGUUAGAAACAAUGAAAAUUUUCACCAUGCUGCUUACAAACAAUAUGUACUCUGGCAACAUGAAAAGAUAAGGAAGUGGGAACAGGAGAAUGAUUCCAAGCUGUUGUGUUACGGCAAUACGGAAACGAUAUCCUUCUCCAAAUGGGAUAUACUCUGCUAGAUUGUAAAUAUUUGUUGCACAUGUUGUUAUUAUGUUAUUGAUCAUUGAGGAAAACAUUAUUUCACUAAACCAUUUUACUGCAAUUAUCUCCCCGUGACAGGGAGGAUCAUUUUAAAUAUUUUGAAAGAACUUGGGUAAUUCCCGCCUGCAUGCAUGUUAAUAAGACCCAUUCACACAAGCGAUUUUAAACUGUGAUUUUCUCCUUUUGGGAUACAGUAUGUGAUUUAGCAAAAUUACAGGAAAUAUUACUUUGCAUGGCUUAGCUCGUAUAUUCGUUGUGAUAUUCACUCAAACACAU